rnacentral:lncRNA from 1 species
CUGUUUACAAACUUGACGUACACACGCAGUCCUAUCCCUACGGUCCUGGAAUUGGGGGUUACUAUCUUGGAAUCUAGGGGCACUCCAGGCUCUGGGCUCAGACGGCUGGCUUCUGCCUACCCGAGCCUUAACCUUUCAAGGACCAGAAGGAUUCCAGAGCUCUUGCCCUAGGUCCUGGGGCAGCGAUGACUCACUGCAGCACCCCCUCCCACUUCGCCAAGCUGCCGUCUCCGCCCACCCCCAAACAAUCUCGACAGCGCAUUUCGGGAGCCACGGCUCCGGGCGCUUUGCUGGGGGCUAAAGGGGUUUAUCCCUUUCCUUGAAUCCCAGCAGGCUAGAACUACCCCCUCCCAGUCUUCAGGCUUGCCACGCUCUCCACCCGAUCCUUCCAUUGAAAGGCAGAGAAGGAAGGAUGUGCUUGGGAACUUUAAGACCCACGAACGACAGCGCACUGAUGGAGCAGCCCAGUGUCUGGGGCAAAGUCCUCGAGGUUCAUUCAUUCAGGAAGCCUCUGACCAGCCUUUACCAUGCGCUGAGUGAGAAGCUGAGGAUAAGGAAAGAGCAAGACCCCCAAGAAACCCUGAUGUCUGGCUGAAAGCCGAAGCAUGACGCAACUUUGCUAUAUUUCUCUCCAACAAGGAUUUGUAUAUUUUCGCUUUCUCCUCAAGUAACACCUGGACCUGCUCCUUUCCCUUCAAACGCUGAGGGCUCAGUCUCCAAGUUCCUUUAUGAAACAGGGUGUACCAUCAGAGACGCAGGAGACUUCAGAAAUGAAGAUGCAAAGACAACAGGGGAAACCAUAUAUGUUUAUGGACAGUCAUGCCAAAGUAUGAUUGGAAGACAAAAAGAUUUUUGGCCAAUUCACUGCUCACUAACAUCUCCAUCAAAGGGAAAAACACACAUUGUAAAAUAAGAAUUCUUCAAAGACAACUUGAAGACAUCUGGGAAUUCUGAAGCCUGAAAAUUCCAUGAGUUCAUAGCAGUGUUCACUAAUUCCACUGAUCUAAAGACAAAAAGGAGAGUCAACUGCGUGCCCAAACUCAUUUCUGAUGAUUUCUUCCAUCCUAACUUUUCUGCCUCUCUGGGGGUGGUUAUGCCUGUGAAAAACAUUGAAGCUGUCAGGAACAGAGUCGGCUUUCAAGAUUGGAAUGUCAAAGUAGAGUCUUCUUUUCCUCAGACCAGAAGGGGCUUGGUUGGGUAAGAGUUUCCAGAUCUAAAUGGAGACAGGACUGGGAUAUAGGAGCUUGUACGGAUAAACAACACAAACACCUUGGGUAAGUGAUACACCAAGAGAGAUCAAAAUAGGGUAGGAACACGAUCCUAAAGCUAUGUGAGAUACGAAGCCAAGAGACCCUGUCUACAGGCUGAUAUGUAUUGCAACCAGAGGCCACCUACACUCAAGAAAAUUCUAAAUGAUGUAAUAGGUUGUGGACACUUUCUUGUAAAAAUGAUCGAUAUUUUUUUCUUAUAGGGAUAAAGCUUAAAAGCAUGGGAUGUAUCUCCAUUAGGAAAUAUGAAGUGAGUUGGUAUAUUACAGGUAGGUUAGACUGAGAUAAUUAUAAAACUGGGCUGAUUUUACAUAGAGAAGAACUUGAUUCCUAAAGGUGUUGAAGGACAAGAUGGGGACAGUUAUUGAAGUGUUCAGGUGCUGUCCUUUGUAGUCUGUAGCCUAUUAAAAUAAUACACAACUGAACACAGACCCAAGGAAAGGGGUUCUACUCAUCGCUAGAAUGUAAACUCUAAGAAGAUAAGGAUUUUGUCUGCUUCAUUUAUUACUGUAUUCCCAGCUCCUAAAAGAGUGUCCAGCACUUAGUAUCUGUUGGUAAGUACCUGUUGAAUUAAUUAACCAGUGAUGAGACUUUGGAAAGCAGCUAGUCCAUCUGUAAGAUUGUUUUCUCAUCUGUGAGAUGAGUCAGUUAGAUUAGAUGUUUUCUAAGCUUAUUCUAGUUUUAAAAUUGUAUAUUUCUAUAAGAAAUGAUAAAUGAAAAAUGUCCAUUCCUUUUUCAUCUCCAUCACCCAUCUCACAUCUUCCUUCAGUGCCUAUGUGAUCUGUUUGAGUAUAACCAGGUGUACAAAAGUACUAAGUGAUAUGAGAUGACUUCAGUAGUCCAGGGACUCUUUCUUCCCCCACUCUGUAAAGAGUUAUUUGCUUAAUUUAAUGUACAUUAUAAAAACAGAAUUUGUUUCUCAAUUUCAUUUAUACUCAUACUAUAGUUUACUUUUCACAUAAAUUUAAGGUACAAGGAAGUCAACUUAAAGAAAAUAUUUUAAGUAAAUUAUAAUGCAAGUUCUACACAGAUGUAGCGCAAACCACAAUGGUAGGACACAAGCAAUUGCUAUUUGAGAAAUAGGCCUCUUUGUCAGUACUUAUGGCACGUAUCUUAAAACCCGACUUUCACUAGUGCUCUCAAAGGAACUUAGUCACAAUUCAAGUGACCAUACCAUUUAGCUGAGGGCCCUUUAUUCCUGUUUAUGGUAAAAUAAUUGCCUUAGUUGUACUUUUAAAAAAUAUACUUUUUCUUCUUCUGACCGUAAUGGGCUAACUGCCAUUAAAGAGACCAUCUAUCAUAAACGAUUAGAGAACUGGAUAGAAUAUAUGAAGCCACUGUUUUUGGACAAUAGGCAGCACAAAACGAUGAUCCCUGAGAAAAAGGAAGGAAAUGAGGUGAUGCCUAUAAUUGCCCUGAUUUUUUGCCUGGAGAUACUGUCUGAACUGCUACUCUGGAAAGGAAAACUCAGGUGAAACAUGGGGCCUCACUAAGUAGAGGAGACAGGGUCAAUAUUGGGAAAGCUGAAAUGACUGGAAUUUGCAGGGCAGAAUAUGGGGAAGGAAGGAGCUAUGUAGGGAAAGAGCUCAAGAAAUACGCACAAAGGGGUCGGGUGCGGUGGCUCACGCCUGUAAUCCCAGCACUUUGGGAGGCCGAGGUGGGCAGGUUACUUGAGGCUAGGAGUUCAAGACCAGCCUGACCAACCUGGUGAAACUCUGUCUCUACUAAAAAUACAAAAAUUAACCGGGCAUGGCCGGAUGCGGUGGCUCCUGCCUGUAAUCCCAGCACUUUGGGAGGCCGAAGCGGGUGGAUCACAAGAUCAGGAAUUCGAGACCAGCCUGACCAACAUGGUGAAACCCUUUCUCUACUAAAAAUACAAAUAUUAGCUGGGUGUGGUGGUGCAUGCCUGUAAUUCUAGCUACUCAGGAGGCUGAGGCAGGAGAAUCGCUUGAACCCAGAAGGCGGAGGUUGCAGUGAGCCAAGACCGUGCCACUACACUCCAGCCUGAGAGACAGAGCAAAACUCCAUCUCAAAAAAAAAAAAAAAAAAAAAAAAUUAGUCAGGCAUGGUGGCAGGCACCUGUAAUCCCAGCUACUCAUAGGCUGAGGCACAAGAAUCACUUGAACCCAGGUGGCAGAAGUCACAGUGAGUGAAGAUCGCACCACUGCAUUUCCAGCCUGAGUGACAAAGUGAGAGACUGUCUCAAAAAUAAAAAUAAAAAUAAAAGAAUAUGCAAAGGAUGUUCUUGAGUUUUUGGCUGAUUAUGAAACUAUAUAGGGUAAGACUCCACAAGUGAAAGAACAGUACUUGGAAAGACAAUUACUGAAGAACUAUAAACUGAACAACUACCAGAUCUCCUCCUGAACUGAAAUAUAUUCAAGUUCCAGCCAAAGUCGAGACACACAAUUGAAUUUAUGCAUCAUUUAGUAGAGACCCCAAAAUAUUCAUGCCUCAGUAGUAAUGCAAAAUUGUCCCUACAAUAAAAACUACAGUAGCUCCCCCUUAUCCAUAGUCUUACUUCCUGGAGCUUCAGUUACCCACAGUCAACUUCAGUCCAAAAAUAUUCAAUGGAAAAUCUCAGAAAUAAGCAAUUCAUAAAUUUUAAAUUGUACACUGUUCUGAGUAGCAUAACGAAAUUUCAAGCCAGCCCACUCUGUCCCACCCAGAACAUGAAUCAUCCCUUUGUCCAGUAUAUGCUACCCUCCCAUUGGUCACUUAGGUUAUCAGAAUGACUGUGGCAGUAUCGCAGUGCUUAUACACAAGUAACCGUUGUUUCGUUUAAUAACAGCCCCCACAUGCAAGAAUAGCAAUGCUGGCAAUUUGGAUAAGCCAAAGAGAAGCCACAAAGUACUUCAAGUAAAAAUGUGAAAGUUCUUGACUUAACAAGGAAAAAAAAGUCAUGCUGAGGCAGCUGAGAUCUACAGUAAGAACACAUCUUCUAUCCUUGGAAUUGUGAAGAAGGAAAAAGAUAUUUGCUAGUUUUGCUGUUGCACCUCAAACUGCAAAAGUUACCACCACGGUUCAUGCAAAGUGCUUAGUUAAGAUGGAAAAGGAGUUACAUUUGUGGGUGCAAGACAUGAACAGAGAGGCAUUCCAAUCAAUAGCAAUCAGGUUCAGGGGGUACCUUCCUCAGUUUCAGGCAUCCACAGGGGGUCUUGGAAAGUAUUCCCCAUGGAGGGGGGCGGGGAGGGCUACUGUACUCCAUACUUGUUCUAAUAAAACUUUUUAGAAAUCUCAAAAAGAUUAAGCUAAUCUACAUGAAAUUUAAAUGCUUGCUAGAACAAAGCACAAUGCUCUUUAAGGGAGCAAAACUAAAUCCAGACAAUCAAUACUGUAACACAAUGUUUAGCAACAUGCAAUAAAAAAAUUACUAGACACACAAGAAAUUAAGAAAAAACGUCCUUUCCAUGACCAGGAGAAAAAUGCAUCAACAGAAAGAGACCCAGAAGUGAGAGAGAUGAUAAAAAUUAGUGGACAAGGACUUUCAAACAGCUAUCAGUAGUUUAAGUAUGUGUAUAAAAACAUAAAUGCAAUGAGAGAAAUGGGAACUGUAAAAAAGAACUUAGUGAAACUUCUGAAGCAGAAAAAUAUAAUAUCCGAAGUGAAAAAAUUCACUAGAUAGUUGCAAUAACAGUUUGAUAUUGCAGAAGAAAAAGGUCAGUGAGCUUGAAUAGAACAGAGAGGAAAGUAUAGUCUUUUCAACCAUUAGUGCUGUAACAAUCAGACUGUAUUGAAAAAGACUAACUUUGGUUCCUACCCCUUACCACACGCAAAAAGUAAACUAGACACAGAUCACGGAACUAAAUGUAAAACCUAAAACAAUAAAAUUUUAUGGCCUGGCCAUAAUGGAUUUCUUAGACCAUAAAAAGUACUAACCAAAAAAGACCAAAUUGUUAGAUUUCCUCAAAAGCAAAAACUUUUGCUACUGACAAAGCACCAAUAAAAAAUAAGUCAAGUCAAAGAUUGAAAGAAAAUAUUCACAGUGAACAUCAUAGAGUUGUAUCUGGACUAUAAGAAGAACUUUUAUGACUCAAUAAUAUAAAGACAACUACAUUUUUAAGAGGAGCAAAAGAUUUGAACAUACACUUCACAGAAGAAUAUAAGGGUCAGUAAACACUAAAAGAUACUCAACAUCAUAGUCACCAUAGAAACGCAAUUUUAAACCACAAUGAGAUACCACUACACACCUACUAAAAUAGCUAAAAUGUAAAAAGGCAGAUAUUACCAAGAUUUGGAGAGGUUUUAGGAGUACUGGAAAUGUCAUACAUGGGUAGUGAGAGUGUAAAAUAGUAUAAACAUCUUAGAACACAAUUUGGUAGUUUCUUAUAAAGUUAAAGACAUGCUUAUCAUAUAACUCACCAACCCCUUUUCUAGGUAUCAGCCCAAGAAAAAUAAAAAACAUAUGUCUGCUACACAGACUGCUUGUCUACCUAUGUAUCAACACUUGUUGAACAUAAUGUGAAUGAAUCUCAAAAAUAUUUUGCUGAGUAAAAGUGCCCAAUCCCCAAAAACUACACAUCAUAUGACUCAAUUUGUUUGAAGAUCUAAAACAGAUUUUAUGGUGUUAUUAUUGAGAUUCAUAUAAUACAGCCUAUUCAAUUGGACAAUUGGAAUAUUGUUAUACACAGUUAAUCAACAGACUCUGUAUAAGUGAUAAGGCCUCAGAGAAGAAGAAUAUUAGAGCUCAACUCCAGCACGAUGAGUCGUUAACACCCUUGGGAAUGUAUAGCUGUUAAACAAAACAAGGAGACCAUAUUGCCCUGUGAAUUCAAAGGGAUCUAAUGGGAAUUUCAGAGUAAAUUUAUUUUAAGGUAUGUAGGAAGCCUAAUCAUUUAAAGUGCUUUUUCUAUUCCGAAGCAACUCAUCCCACCACAUCUUUUCAUUUAGUACUGAUCAGUUUCCUUAAAAGAUUAGAAGGUGAAAUGAUGCACUCCAAAAAGAGUGAUCCUUCUUAAUAUUUUGCAUUUAAAACUCCUUUCACAGCCUCCUACGAAUCUGUAUUAGCUCUCCUGUCACAACUUAAUGUAUAUCUUUUGGCCUCAGAAAAUUUGGGGGUGUUUAGGAUGUUUGUUUUACACUAGUAAAACCUAUCUAAAAACAAGCAAAGUGCUCACCAAAAAUAGAAGGUACCAUCAAAGUGACAAAACAAUCAGGUAAUUGUGGGCAACUUAGAUGCUCAAGUCAGCAGGAGACAGGUUUAUAUCCUCAAACCUCGUAUACUGCUGUUCAAAAUAUUCAUUUAAAAAGUGAUGGUAAAUAAAUCCAACUUUUUAUAACUUUUUGCUGUUUACUCCCUCACGAGUGUGUCAACUUGAAGUCAGUGAUUAAUUUUGGAGUCAAGGUCCAAAUGCAAUUGCACCUGCCUGUAGAAAUAACAGUAAUAUUUCAUAGAAGUCUUUCUCACUUUUCACUGUCAUAUUUAGAAACCCCAAAUAGAACAUUGCAUUAAAACUAAGUGAAACUGCAAAUGACUUUUAUGAAAGAGGAUAACAUUUUUAGCAGUGACUUUUUUGACUUGGGAAGACUGGGAGUUUGAAUACUGUGCUGUGUACACUAGCUCUUUCCAUGACACCAACUCUUGUUAGCUGCCUACAUUUGUCCCAGUAAUAAUAGCAACCACAACUACAACUAACGUUUAUUUGUUGUUGUCAAUGUUGGCAUGGAUAUGGAGAAAAGGUUACACAUAUACAUUGCUGGUGGGAAUGUAAAUUAGUUCAACCUCUAUGGAAAACAGUAUGGAGAUUUCUCAAAGAACUAAAAAUAGAACUACUAUUUGAUGCAGCAAUCCCACUACUGGGUAUCUACCCAAAGGUAAAGAAAUUAUUAUAUCAAAAAGACACCUGAACUUGUAUGUUCAUCACAGCAUUACUUAUAAUAGCAAACAACCUAUGUGUUCAUCAAUGGUUGACUAGAUAAAGAAAAUAGGGUAUGUGUGUAUGUAUGUG